rnacentral:rRNA from 1 species
ACUGAAUAGAUACCCUGGUAGUCCAUGCUGUAAACGAUGAGAACUAGAUGUUAGGGGGCAUGACCUCUUAGUAUCGAAGCUAACGCGAUAAGUUCUCCGCCUGGGGAGUACGGCCGCAAGGUUAAAACUCAAAGAAAUUGACGGGGGCCCGCACAAGCGGUGGAGCAUGUGGUUUAAUUCGAUGCAACGCGAAGAACCUUACCUACCUUUGAAUCCACGGAACCUAGCAGAGAUGUUGGGGUGCCUUCGGGAACCGUGAGACAGGUGCUGCAUGGCUGUCGUCAGCUCGUGUCGUGAGAUGUUGGGUUAAGUCCCGUAACGAGCGCAACCCUUGUCCUUAGUUGCCAUCAGGUUAUGCUGGGCACUUUAAGGAGACUGCCGGUGAUAAACCGGAGGAAGGUGGGGAUGACGUCAAGUCCUCAUGGCCCUUACAGGUAGGGCUACACACGUGCUACAAUGGGCAGUACAGAGGGAAGCCAACCCGGCAGGGGGAGCGAAUCUCAUAAAGCUGUUCGUAGUCCGGAUUGGAGU